rnacentral:rRNA from 1 species
UACGUAGGUGGCGAGCGUUGUCCGGAUUUACUGGGCGUAAAGGGAGCGUAGGCGGAUUUUUAAGUGAGAUGUGAAAUACUCGGGCUCAACUUGAGUGCUGCAUUUCAAACUGGAAGUCUAGAGUGCAGGAGAGGAGAAUGGAAUUCCUAGUGUAGCGGUGAAAUGCGUAGAGAUUAGGAAGAACACCAGUGGCGAAGGCGAUUCUCCGGACUGUAACUGACGCUGAGGCUCGAAAGCGUGGGGAGCAAACAGG